GACCAUGCAAUAUGUUUUGUGCACAAGCUUGGAAAAGAGCCCACAGAAAAACCCAAUCGUUGGAAAAGAACCUACAGAAAAACUCAAAAAAUGAUUGAUGAAGCUGCAGACCGAUUUAGCUUCAUGGCUAAGGUGUUGGGUGCAUCUUGGAUUGACUGAUCAGCUGAUGAUGUUUAUACAAUUAUUGUAUCAUAUUUUCCUCACGGUGAGAAUUUUUUAUGUUUAAUAAAUUUGGUGGAAGAUCCAUAGAAUUGUUCACAGUUAAGAAUGACAAUUUGUGGUUGUGAUUUUGUUUUGUAAAUAAUUUGAAAAUCCUUUGAAAGAAGCUACUAUUAUUUGAUAGU